rnacentral:lncRNA from 1 species
UAUUACGUAUACUAUAAUAUGUAUUAUAUAUAAUAUAAUAUAUAUGAAUAUAUAUAAUAAUAAAAUAUAAUAUAAUAUAUAUAUAAUUAUAUAUAAUUAUAUAUAUAUAUAAUAUAUUAUGUACAUAAUGUAUAUUAUAUAUAAUAUAUUAUAUAUAAUAUAUUAUAUAUAUAACGUGACAUAUAAUAUAUAUUAUUUAUAUAUAAUGUAUAUUAUAUUUUAUAUAUAUUAUAUAUUAUAUGAUAUAUAUAAUAUAUAGUACAUAUAAUAUACAUUAUAUAUGUAUAAUUUUUUUUAGACCAGAUUCUUGUUCUGUUGCACAGGCUGGAAUGCAAUGGCGCCUUCUUGGCUCACUGCAACCUCUGCCUCACGGGUGCAAGCGAUUGUCCUGCCUCAGCCUCCCAGGUAGCUGGGGCUACACCACACUGGGACUACACCAGCUGCCACCAUGCCUGGCUAAUUUUUUGUAUUUGUAGUAGAGACAGGGUUUCACUGUAUUGGCCAGGAUGGUCUUGAUCUCCUCACCUUGUGAUCCUCUUGCCUUGGCCUCCCAAAGUGCUGGGAUUACAGGCCUGAGUCAAGAUACAUAUUUUUUAAAUGAAGAAAAAUUUCAAAGAUACUCUGCUUGGUACAAUAAUCAAAUAUAUAAAUUGAGGAAUAAAACAUAAUCAUGAAACAUAUUUAUAACUGCAUAUGGAAAAUACGGAGGCUAAUUUUUUAUAUAACAUAUUUUGAAAGCAUUAACUAGUAAUUUGAAAAGAUCGCAUUUGACAGGCCAGUAUGAACAUACCUUGAAUGCAGCCACACAGGUUCCCCAUAA